rnacentral:lncRNA from 10 species
CAGCCCUGUAGGAGACACCUCCAGAGAAAGUAACAGCUCUCAAUUGAUUAGCUGAGCCAGAAUUAGCUUCUGUUACUUACAACUGUGAGUCCUGACUGAAAACAUAUUUCUUCCUUUGAAGAACUGUUACCUGUAACAGGCUAAGAAGAAUAUUAAGCUCGCCUUGGCGGGAAGAUCUGGCACAAAUGAAGUAUCUAUAAGGAGCAGCAGAGUCAAGGUGGUGAUCCUGUGGAUGAAUAACUGAAACCUGAUAUACUUGACAGCAGAAAAUAUAAAGCAAAUUGAAAAGGAGAGAGUGUGGAGAUAAAUAAGAAAAUGAAAGAACUGAUAAAGUCACUUGGAUUAAAAAACCUGGGAGUAAGGGCUUUGUUUAUGAUUGAACUUAAGAGAGAAUUGAGGGACCACCUACCUUUGAUGUUAACGAGAAAGUAAAGAGGAAACAUAUUUAGAGAUACCCUUUGGUGAAAAACAGAAAUGGAUGUGUCAUUUGAUGCAUCACAUUAUUUAUUCAACAAACUCUUAGUGAGAACUUACUGUGUAUGAAAGACUGGACUGAAACAUAUAUAAGAAAUAAUUUUUGGCCCAAGGAAUUUAUAGUAUAAUUGAGGAAACAAAUACAAAUCACUUCUGCAAAGUA